rnacentral:lncRNA from 1 species
UUUGGACUUGAAGCUAAGUAACCGAGAAGCAAAGAUUAAUGAUCCCCCGCUGCCCUAAGCAGGAUCGCCGAAGGCCUGCUGCUGGGAGGACAGUCUAGUGCAAACCGGCCUUCUGAUAAUGCGCAGUUACGAGAUAAUAACAUCUAUUGGUGAAGAGAAGCCAAGGGCCCAGGACAACUUCUCUCCAGUGCAAGCAAUUUGUCCGAGGCACCAGCGCAGUCAGAGAUAAACAGGAUGAUCAGGAUAAAGGAUGAAAGACCAGAAUUAAGAAGAAGAAGAAGAAGAAGAAAAAAAAGUGAUAUUAUGGGUCUGAAAUAAAGAAACUGUUGAUAGGAAAAAAUCAGAGACAGCUGGAUGUGCACACACUCUUUCCCAUCCACCUAAAUACUCCAGACCUGCUUCCCAACUCCUUUCCCGGAGAGGACUUCACUGAAAAUGUCCUUGUGGUUUGCAGUUUUAAGCCACAGGCCCAGGAGCUCCUGAAGCAUGCUGUGAGCAAACAGCCCAACGCUGCAGGCAUCCCUGGAGCCUUGUUUGUACCUCAGCCUGGACGGGGGGUUCCUGAUCAUUCCAACAGAGGUAGGCGGCUCAGAUGUGUCUUGGAAAGUGAGUCAGGAGAUGAAAAGGUUCUCAAAUAUUUGGCUGUUCUAAAUUUCAGUUAGAGUGGGAGCCGUCCCCCUCCUUGCUGCUGCUGGACGUGCUCCAGACUGCAGGAUUCCUGCUGCCCCAUGUCCCUCUGCAGAGGCCAGGGCACUUUGUACAGUUAUCUAUUUGUAGAUUGGGGUUAAAUAAGGAUCUUGGCUAUAACCUGAGUAGAUUUAGCUGUUUUUUUUUUUUCUUAUAUCAUUUCCUUGUAUUUCAAAGAGGAAAAUAUAUUUAUAUUCUAUAUCUGAAAAUUCGAGAUUAAAUUGUGCAAAUGGCUCUUCACACUUGACAAAAGACCUACAGGGUAAUGUAGUAAAGCUUAAUAUUAACAAAAUUACCACAAAUUGUGCUAAGAGCAUCGUAACUUCAACUAAUGUAAAAAUAAGUGAGGGAUUUCUGGAAAGAAGUAUAUCAGUGCUUAUCUGGAAAAACUAAAUGUAAGGAAUAUAUAAGGAAAUAAAAACAAAGGGCUUCUUCUGACA